rnacentral:tRNA from 1 species
GGGAGUGUAGCUCAGUGGUACAGCAGUUGCCUAGCAUGUUCGUUCAAGGUCCUUGGUUUGAACCCUAGCACCCCCC